GCCAGGUGUGGUGGCUCACACCUGUAAUCCCAGCACUUUGGGAGGCUGAGAUGGGAGGAUCACUUGAGGCCAGGAGUUCAAGACCAGCCUGGUCAACAGAGUGAGACCCCCAUCUCUA
rfam:Homo sapiens chromosome 17, GRCh38 reference primary assembly.